rnacentral:rRNA from 1 species
CACGGGGGGCCUACGGGAGGCAGCAGUAGGGAAUAUUGGGCAAUGGUCGCAAGACUGACCCAGCCAUGCCGCGUGCAGGAAGACGGCCCUCUGGGUUGUAAACUGCUUUUAUCUGGGAAGAAAAAGUCCAUGCGUGGAAAAUUGCCGGUACCAGAUGAAUAAGCACCGGCUAACUCCGUGCCAGCAGCCGCGGUAAUACGGAGGGUGCAAGCGUUGUCCGGAUUUAUUGGGUUUAAAGGGUGCGUAGGCGGCUGAAUAAGUCAGCGGUGAAAGACUUCGGCUUAACCGGAGCAGUGCCGUUGAUACUGUUUAGCUUGAGUGUUGGAGGGGUACAUGGAAUUGAUGGUGUAGCGGUGAAAUGCAUAGAUACCAUCAGGAACACCGAUAGCGAAGGCAUUGUACUGGCCAACAACUGACGCUGAGGCACGAAAGUGUGGGGAUCGAACAGGAUUAGAUACCCUGGUAGUCCACACCGUAAACGAUGAUUACUCGCUGUUAUGGUGUAAGCUGUAGCGGCCAAGCGAAAGCGUUAAGUAAUCCCCCUGGAA